GGGUUUGCGGGACUCAGCCUUGCUUUUUUCCGCUUGGUGCACUUUCCGGUUGGACGGGCCAGCAUCGAUUUUGACCGUCGGAGAAGGGCUGGAGAAAUGUGGCACCUUUUUGGGUGUGUAAUAGUCUUCAGUCCCAUGCGUCGGUGGGAAUCGAGAAACGCAGCGGGCCCCCCAAGGCGAAGGAGGAACCCCUUCACUAUUCGCGCUUAGGAUGCUGGCAUAAUGGUUUUAAACAACCCGUCUUGAAACACGGACCAGGGAGUCUAACAUACCUGCGAGUGUUUGGGGGGAAAACCCGAGCGCGAAAUGAAAGUGAAAGUUGAAACCUCUGUCGUGGAGGGCAUCAA
rnacentral:rRNA from 1 species